UGAAGGCACACUGUUCCCUCUUAAAGAAGCAAGAUCAACAUUCAGAAUCGCUCAGUGACAAAUCUCAAUUGGUGGAAGAACAGGUCACCCAUGGGCAGGAAACUCCGCUCCACACAAUUGUGGUGAGACCACACCUAGACGGCUGCGUGAUGUCUUGGGUACCUGAGUAUCCAAAAACUUGGACUGAGUUCAAAGGAGAUGAUUAAAGGAAUGGGGGAAUUGGAAGUGACUGACUGAUGAGAAAAGAUUAAAGGAGCCAAAUCAAGAAACCUGACAGAGCAAUAGCUAAGGGGAAAAAUGAUAAAAGCUACAAGUACCGGGAAUGUGCAAACACCAAAAAUUUAUAAGCCUACACCCUGGACACACUGAACUGAAACAUCUACCACAAAGUGGCAUCUAUUUCCGACCUUGCCAACAAUUUCAGCUUCCUGCUUACACUGUGCAGCUUCAUUUUAUGUCAAUAGUGGUUUCAUGCAGAGAACAAGAUCUAAAUGUGGAAAAGCGUUAAGAAACCAUCCCCCAAAUCGCUGUCACAUAACUUGAAGUGGAAGGGAGCCCAAAGAUCAGGAGAGAGGCACAGGAUCUGAAAGCUCAGUGGGAUCAGAUAGACUGUACUGGAGAAAGUUUUUCAAGAUCAAGUUCCUGAAAUGACAAUCACUCAUCCCUCCCUGAGAAAGAGAAAAUGCACGUGUGCUCACAGGAGCCUGCUAAGGGGUCUGGGGUUAUGCAGAAACAGUUCCUUGUACUUUUUUGUACUUCUCCAGGGUAUAUAUAUUUAUACAGAAACCUCCUCUUAUUACAUUAAAAUCCGGUAACUUAUCAAUAUAUUAAUUGCCAUCCAUGACUUGCCCUUCUUAGAAGUAGUAAGACUGAAGAAUUUUCUUUUUAAUUUCAAAGUUAUAUGCAGAACUACCUUAACUUGUUUUUAUUACCUUUAAUUAGCUUAAUAAUCUUCACAUUUCCUUGUUGAAUAACUGCUAACUUAAUGUGUUGCCAUAAUGCAUUUUUAAAUUACUGCUUUAAAACAUUCAGUGCUGAUUUCCAGUUUCCACUCACUGUAUUAAUUAUCUAUAAAUAUGUGUGAGAUUUCCUUCAGCAGAUUUUCACAAUCUCCUUAUUAUUACUAUAUAGACAAUUUAAGGUGCUACAACAAUUAAAAGUUCAACAUCCCUGUAAUUUACUCAACCAUAUAAUUGAUAUUUAUAAGCUCAGCAAACCUGGUAGGAAAGAAAAACAUUAGCCAGCCCCGUUCAAGUUCACAGACCUUUAAUUUGGAUAUAAGCGUCGGGAUCUUGGUUGUAGAAACUAACAGUCCCACCCUCCUUUGUGCUCAGAUAUUUGUGCCUUUCAGGACACUGUUUCUCCUUUUUAAGCAAGAGAUGGUUUUCUUGAGCCCAUUUAUUCUUGUAAGCAUGAGUUGAAGAGGAAAGUGAACAAACCGAUUUGUGAGUUGGGUGCAGGAAAUGGACAGUUGUUGGACUCUCUUCAGCAUUAACAGAGUAGAAUGAAAAAUAAAAUGCCUAACUCCUAGCACUUGUUAUACAAUGAGGAAUGUGCCACUUACAGUCACAGAACCUCUAUUCUCUCAUCCAUACAAUGGACAUAAGAUUUGCUCAAAAUAAAGCUGAGCACCCUUGUGAAGAACUGAGGCUAUAUAAAUACAAUGCUUUGAAAACAGUGAAACGCUGAAAAUGUGAA
rnacentral:lncRNA from 1 species